rnacentral:rRNA from 1 species
CUGCAACUCGCCUGCAUGAAGUCGGAAUUGCUAGUAAUCGCAGAUCAGCAUGCUGCGGUGAAUACGUUCCCGGGCCUUGUACACACCGCCCGUCACACCAUGGGAGUCGGUAACACCCAAAGUUGGUAGCCUAACCGCAAGGAGGGCGCCGCCUAAGGUGGGAUUGAUGACUGGGGUGAAGUCGUAACAAGGUAAC